UACGGAGGGAGCUAGCGUUGUUCGGAAUUACUGGGCGUAAAAGCGCGCGUAGGCGGCUUUUGUAAGUUAGAGGUGAAAGCCCGGGGCUCAACUCCGGAAUUGCCUUUAAGACUGCAUCGCUUGAAUCCGGGGAGAGGUGAGUGGAAUUCCGAGUGUAGAGGUGAAAUUCGUAGAUAUUCGGAAGAACACCAGUGGCGAAGGCGGCUCACUGGACCGGUAUUGACGCUGAGGUGCGAAAGCGUGGGGGAGCAAACAGG
rnacentral:rRNA from 1 species